rnacentral:rRNA from 1 species
CGCGUAGGCGGUUAUUUAAGUCGGAUGUGAAAGCCCUGGGCUUAACCUGGGAACUGCAUUCGAUACUGGCUGACCAGAGUACGAGAGAGGGAGGUAGAAUUCCACGUGUAGCGGCGAAAUGCGUAGAUAUGUGGAGGAAUACCAGUGGCGAAGGCGGCCUCCUGGCUCGAUACUGACGCUGAGGUGCGAAAGCGUGGGGAGCAAACA